GUUUUCAGUUUUUCGAGUUUUGGUUUUGUGGAUGGGACAAAUCGCUUAUGACCCAGUCAGCAUGAUGACAAGACAUAUGCCAUUUAACUUUUGAGUCCUAAAAUCCUUUUAAAACUGAUUUUACCCUUUUUAAUUUGGAAUUAUAUUGCACACUCUUAUGGAAUGCUACUUCAGUUUCAGAAUAUCUCAUUGCAAGCUUGACAACAAAUUGUUAACAAAGCACCACAAUCGACGACUGCAGGUCUGGGGGUCUGUGGGUAUAACCACAAAAAGGAAGACUUUGAAGUGGUCACGCAAUUCCGAUAAAUCCUCGUACUUAAAAAUGCCUUCAUUGCAAAAUGAUCAUUUUUCUUGAACCGAAAAUCUUGUUUUUUCUAGAUCCGUCCAUGAUG